rnacentral:rRNA from 1 species
UACGGGGGGGGCAAGCGUUGUUCGGAAUUACUGGGCGUAAAGGGCUCGUAGGCGGCCAACUAAGUCGGAUGUGAAAUCCCCAGGCUUAACCUGGGAACUGCAUCCGAUACUGGAUGGCUUGAAUCCGGGAGAGGGAUGCAGAAUUCCAGGUGUAGCGGUGAAAUGCGCAGAUAUCAGGAAGAACACCAGCGGCGAAGGCGGCACUCUGGGCCGGAACUGACGCUGAGGAGCGAAAGCGUGGGGAGCGAACAGG